GCUUAAUAGUUUAUAUGAAAAUGUGUACUUGUGGUGUAAGAGAAUAUAGAGCUUU
rnacentral:tRNA from 1 species